rnacentral:rRNA from 1 species
GAUGAACGCUAGCUACAGGCUUAACACAUGCAAGUCGAGGGGCAGCAUGCUGGUAGCUUGCUACCAGUGAUGGCGACCGGCGCACGGGUGAGUAACGCGUAUCCAACCUGCCCACCACUUGGGGAUAACCUUGCGAAAGUAAGACUAAUACCCAAUGAUAUCUCUAGAAGACAUCUGAAAGAGAUUAAAGAUUUAUCGGUGAUGGAUGGGGAUGCGUCUGAUUAGCUUGUUGGCGGGGUAACGGCCCACCAAGGCAACGAUCAGUAGGGGUUCUGAGAGGAAGGUCCCCCACAUUGGAACUGAGACACGGACCAGACUCCUACGGGAGGCAGCAGUGAGGAAUAUUGGUCAAUGGGCGCAGGCCUGAACCAGCCAAAGUCGCGUGAGGGAGGACGGUCCUACGGAUUGUAAACCUCUUUUGUCGGGGAGUAAACGUGCGGGACGCGUCCCGUAUUGAGAGUACCCGAAGAAAAAGCAAUCGGCUAACUCCGUAGCCAGCAGCCG